rnacentral:tRNA from 1 species
GCUCCAGUGGCGCAAUCGGUCAGCGCGUGGUACUUAUAUGACAGUAUUGUAAUGAGCAAUGCCGAGGUUGUGAGUUCAAGCCUCACCUGGAGCA